rnacentral:tRNA from 1 species
GCCGAGGUGACGGAAUUGGUAGACGUACGAGACUUAAAAUCUCGAGACCGUAAGGUCGUGUGGGUUCGAUUCCCACCCUCGGCA